GACGUAGGAUGCGAGCGUUGUCCGGAAUUAUUGGGCGUAAAGCGUUCGUAGGCGGCAUGCAAAGUCUGGUGUUAAAGCCCGGGGCUCAACCCCGGUUCGGCAUUGGAUACUUGCAAGCUGGAGUGCAGAAGAGGCAAAGGGAAUUCCUAGUGUAGCGGUGAAAUGCGUAGAUAUUAGGAGGAACACCGGUGGCGUAAGCGCUUUGCUGGUCUGUUACUGACGCUGAGGAACGAAAGCCAGGGGAGCAAAUGGGAUUAGAUACCCCAGUAGUCCUGGCCGUAAACGAUGGAUACUAGGUGUUGCAGGUAUCGACCCCUGCAGUGCUGUAGCUAACGCAAUAAGUAUCCCGCCUGGGGAGUACGCACGCAAGUGUGAA
rnacentral:rRNA from 1 species